rnacentral:lncRNA from 1 species
AGAUUUUUUUUUUUCCUACGAUGAGGUGGCAAUUAUAGCACCAGAAGUUGUGGGUCUGAGUGUCUGCAGUGUGGUCACAGUUUUGCAUAGGCUGUGGCAGCAAUUUGUUUCAUAAAGCUGAAAACAGCAAACAGGAUGCCAUUGAAACAGAAGGUGUUAUAAUUGGUAAUAACGUCCUAGCUUACACUUUAGUUUUCUUGUAGUGGGUAACUUUUGUUCUUUAAGUUUUCUACUUUUCUAAGAGUUCUUGUAAUUGAAAGUGAAACAACUUGAGCUUUUUUUUCAAGCAUCUGGUUUAGCUUCAGUUAUGAUUUUAUGCAAUGGGGCAGUAUCUCCUUAUUUAAGCUGUUACACAGGAGCAAAUGUGGAGAUGCAUGAUAAUAAAGUCGUGUUUCAGAAUGUACGAAAUUACAAUUUCACUGCUUGGAAACGGGCAAGGAUUUUAAAAUUUAAGGCAUCCAAUUGUUUGACUGGAUUUUUGACCAUUGCUGUGCCUGGACCAGUUUUUUUGUCUACUCAGAAAGAUGCUGUGUGAAAUCAGAGUUGUGCAGCACACACAGGUAGCUCUUGCAGAACAUCUCAGACUGCAUUAAUCAACACAGAUACUUAUCUGUCCUGUGUGAGUAGGAAGGGAAGCUAAAAACUUGAAACCUAGCUUCCUAACAGCCAGUGCUCCUAAGUGCAUGUGUUUUUUUCAAAUGUGUUAGGGAUGAAGAAAGCUGAUGCUUCAUAAAAGCCACUUGCAAUUUUAAUUUAUCUUAACCCUACAGAUGUGACUUUUUUUUUUUUUUUUAACUCCACUGCUUAUUGUGUUAUGAGAACAUUGUCUUACAGAUAUGGUUGAUCCACUCAUGACAGAAAAAAACAAAGUGGCUGACUUCAACAUACUUUUUGCACACAGUAUUUUUUCCUGAAAGCAGAUUUUAAAUCUCAGUAUGGUUUGAGCAGAAGUUCUCA